AUUGAAAUACCAAUUCCCAUAUGAUCACCAGUUAAGCAACGUUGAUCCUGGUCAGUACCUAGAUGGGUGACCACCUGGGAAUACCAGGUGAU